AUGUGCAAUGCAAGACUCCCAGCCCAUGCAGGUAGGGCGUGCGAGUGGGGGAGAAGUUGCAUCCCGCGAGGAGUCUUCUUCAUUUGUUUUUCUAUGCGUUAUUUAUGGUUGAUUUCUUCAAGAAUUCUAUAGCAAAUCGAAGACCAUAUGGAGAAUUAUAGCACAUAGAGAAAGGGAGGAAAUUAUCUAGUUAAAUAUG
rnacentral:lncRNA from 1 species